rnacentral:misc_RNA from 1 species
AAAGGUAGAAGACAAAAGAGUGGUGAUUGUGGAAAAAAUGGAUUAAACAUAAAUAUAGGUUUAAGCAAGCAACACGUAAAGAGCCCGGUUAGCUCCGCGGUAAGAUGUCGGACUCGUAACUCGGCUCGAUUCUUCACCCUGGGUUUUCUUCCCCGUGGUGGUGUGUCCAAACCGGCUCGAGGUAGUGAAAGCUACCCGAUUUUGCUGCCGCAAGCAAUUUUUAUCGUUCGUUUGGUAGAUGCGGGAAGGAAGAGAAGAAGAGUACCGUGCCUAGUCCGGGUAGGCAUGGCACGUAGAUGGGUGACUAUAGGUUGACCACUGACCAACUUCACGAUUGGUUGUUAUAGUUAAUCUUUUGCGCGAUUAAUUCACUCUCCAAGGAAUUGUAGGAACUUCCUUAGAAACUGUGCCAAGUUCUUCGUGUACAAAAGACCGUAAAUUAACUACGUGUAGAGAAAAUCAUGCGAAAAUUCGCCUCGGGUGACGAGGUAUCGUCGUGGAUAAUCGUUACUAACCGAAUUAUCGAAAAUUCGAUGAAUUAAAAAAACACGUAU